rnacentral:pre_miRNA from 1 species
UAUGUACUCCCUCCAUUCAGAAUUACUUGUCUCGAAAAUGGAUGUAUCUAGAACUAAAAUACAUCUAGAUACAUCCAUUUCUGCGACAAGUAAUUCCGAACGGAGGGAGUACAUC